rnacentral:ncRNA from 2 species
AUUUAGCAUCAAGAGUCGGUUAUCCGACGCCAACCUGCCUACCCGGGCAAGGUGGAAGCCUUUACGGCGAUGCGGCCUAUUAACGGCAACGAAGCGGGCGCAC